GUGGUGCAGAGGUUAAAGUACUUGGCUGCUAACCAAAAGGUUGGUGGUUCAAAUCCACCAGCCACU
rnacentral:tRNA from 1 species